rnacentral:misc_RNA from 1 species
UUGCUAGGAAGCAGGCAGG